rnacentral:rRNA from 1 species
CCUACGGGCGGCAGCAGUGAGGAAUAUUGGUCAAUGGGCGCGAGCCUGAACCAGCCAAGUCGCGUGAGGGAGGACGGCCCUACGGGUUGUAAACCUCUUUUGCCGGGGAGCAACGGGCGCCACGUGUGGCGCCACUGAGAGUACCCGGAGAAAAAGCAUCGGCUAACUCCGUGCCAGCAGCCGCGGUAAUACGGAGGAUGCGAGCGUUAUCCGGAUUUAUUGGGUUUAAAGGGUGCGUAGGCGGAUCGUUAAGUCAGUGGUCAAAUUGAGGGGCUCAACCCCUUCCCGCCAUUGAAACUGGCGAUCUUGAGUGGAAGAGAAGUAUGCGGAAUGCGUGGUGUAGCGGUGAAAUGCAUAGAUAUCACGCAGAACCCCGAUUGCGAAGGCAGCAUGCCGGCUUCCGACUGACGCUGAAGCACGAAAGCGUGGGGAUCGAACAGGAUUAGAUAACCCAGUAGUC